AUCUAUACCGUGAAACUGCGAAUGGCUCAUUAAAUCAGUUAUCGUUUAUUUGAYAGAACCUACUUACUUGGAUAACCGUGGUAAUUCUAGAGCUAAUACAUGCUAAAAACCUCGACUUCGGAAGGGGUGUAUUUAUUAGAUAAAAAACCAAUGCCCUCCGGGGCUCCCUGGUGAUUCAUAAUAACUAAACGAAUCGCAUGGCCUUGCGCCGGCGAUGGUUCAUUCAAAUUUCUGCCCUAUCAACUUUCGAUGGUAGGAUAGUGGCCUACCAUGGUGGCAACGGGUAACGGGGAAUUAGGGUUCUAUUCCGGAGAGGGAGCCUGAGAAACGGCUACCACAUCCAAGGAAGGCAGCAGGCGCGCAAAUUACCCAAUCCCGACACGGGGAGGUAGUGACAAUAAAUACUGAUGUGGAGCUCUUUAGGGUUUCACAAUUGGAAUGAGAAAAAUCUAAACCACUUAAACGAGGAACAAUUGGAGGGCAAGUCUGGUGCCAGCAGCCGCGGUAAUUCCAGCUCCAAUAGCGUAUAUUAAAGUUGUUGCAGUUAAAAAGCUCGUAGUUGAACCUUGGGCCUGGCCGGCCGGUCCGCCUCACCGCGUGCACUGGUUCGGCCGGGCCUUUCCUCCUGGGGAACCGCAUGCCCUUCACUGGGUGUGCCGGGGAAUCAGGACUUUUACUUUGAAAAAAUUAGAGUGUUCAAAGCAGGCAUUUGCUCGAAUACAUUAGCAUGGAAUAAUAGAAUAGGACGUUGUGGUUCUAUUUUGUUGGUUUCUAGGACCGCCGUAAUGAUAAUAGGGACGA
rnacentral:rRNA from 1 species